rnacentral:rRNA from 1 species
AGUCCCGCAACGAGCGCAACCCCUAUCCUUGUUUGCCAGCACGUAAUGGUGGGAACUCCAGGGAGACUGCCGGUGAUAAACCGGAGGAAGGUGGGGACGACGUCAAGUCAUCAUGGCCCUUACGAGUAGGGCUACACACGUGCUACAAUGGCGUAUACAGAGGGCUGCCAACUCGCGAGAGUGAGCGAAUCCCACAAAGUACGUCGUAGUCCGGAUUGGAGUCUGCAACUCGACUCCAUGAAGUCGGAAUCGCUAGUAAUCGUGGAUCAGAAUGCCACGGUGAAUACGUUCCCGGGCCUU